rnacentral:rRNA from 1 species
GACGAACGCUGGCGGCGUGCUUAACACAUGCAAGUCGAGCGGUAAGGCCCUUUCGGGGUACGACGAGCGGCGAACGGGUGAGUAACACGUGGGUGACCUGCCCUCAGCUCUGGGAUAAGCCUGGGAAACCGGGUCUAAUACCGGAUAUGACUCCAUGACGCAUGUUGUGGGGUGGAAAGCCUUGUGCGGCUGAGGAUGGGCCCGCGGCCUAUCAGCUUGUUGGUGGGGUGAUGGCCUACCAAGGCGACGACGGGUAGCCGGCCUGAGAGGGCGACCGGCCACACUGGGACUGAGACACGGCCCAGACUCCUACGGGAGGCAGCAGUGGGGAAUCUUGCGCAAUGGGCGAAAGCCUGACGCAGCGACGCCGCGUGAGGGAUGACGGCCUGUGUAA